rnacentral:rRNA from 1 species
UACGUAGGUCCCGAGCGUUGUCCGGAUUUAUUGGCGUAAAGCGAGCGCAGGUGGUUUAUUAAGUCUGGUGUAAAAGGCAGUGGCUCAACCAUUGUAUGCAUUGGAAACUGGUAGACUUGAGUGCAGGAGAGGAGAGUGGAAUUCCAUGUGUAGCGGUGAAAUGCGUAGAUAUAUGGAGGAACACCGGUGGCGUAAGCGGCUCUCUGGCCUGUAACUGACACUGAGGCUCGAAAGCGUGGGGAGCAAACAGG